rnacentral:rRNA from 1 species
GACGAACGCUGGCGGCGUGCUUAACACAUGCAAGUCGAACGGAAAGGCCCUGCUUUUGUGGGGUGCUCGAGUGGCGAACGGGUGAGUAACACGUGAGUAACCUGCCCUUGACUUUGGGAUAACUUCAGGAAACUGGGGCUCAUACCGGAUAGGAGCUCCUGCUGCAUGGUGGGGGUUGGAAAGUUUCGGCGGUUGGGGAUGGACUCGCGGCUUAUCAGCUUGUUGGUGGGGUAGUGGCUUACCAAGGCUUUGACGGGUAGCCGGCCUGAGAGGGUGACCGGCCACAUUGGGACUGAGAUACGGCCCAGACUCCUACGGGAGGCAGCAGUGGGGAAUAUUGCACAAUGGGCGGAAGCCUGAUGCAGCAACGCCGCGUGUGGGAUGACGGCCUUCGGGUUGUAAACCGCUUUCGCCUGUGACGAAGCGUGAGUGACGGUAAUGGGUAAAGAAGCACCGGCUAACUACGUG